CCAAGGCGGCUUGAUAUUACUGAAUAACCGAUAGUGAAGAGUACCGUGAGGGAAAGGUGAAAAGAACCCCGAAAGGGGAGUGAAAAGAUCAUAAAUUCGUAAAUUUACAAGCAGUAGAAAGGCAUUUGUAUGCUUAACUUCGUGCCUGUUGAAGAAUGAGCUAGCGACUUGUAGAUUGUGGCAUUUUUUGGUUAAUUCUUGGUCGGUAAAACAUAUCGGAGCCAUAGUGAAAGCGAGGACGAAAAGUUCAUGACAAAAGUAGAAAGGUUUCUAUUUUUUUAUUCAUGUCACAAUUUACAAACCCGAACCCGGAUGAUCUAACCGUGAUCAGUGUGAAACUUAGUUAACACUAAACGGAGGCAUGAACUGACUGUUGCUGCAAGAACAGCGGAUGAAUUGCGGUUAGGGGUGAAAUUCCAAUCGAAUUCGGAGCUAGCUGGAUCUCCCCGAAAUGUGUUGAGGCGCAGCAAUUAAAAAUUUAUGUUCAUUAUUAGGGGUAAAGCACUGUUUUGGUACGGGCCAUGAAAAAAUGGGACUAAAUCAAGGCAAACUAUGAAUACUAAAUGGAAUGUAUAGGUACACAAUUAAGUGCCGAUUUUAAAUUAGUGAGACAUUGGGGGAUAAGCUUCAAUGUCAAAAGGGAAACAGCCCAGAUUAUUAGUUAAGGCCCUUAAAAAAAUACUGAGUGGAAAAGGAGGUGGAGUAACUAUGACAACCAGGAAGUUUGCUUAGAAGCAGCAAUCUUGUAAAGAGUGCGUAAUAGCUCACUGGUCUAGCAGUUCAAGCGAAUCCAAGUUAUUCUGCGCUGAAAAUGAUCGGGACUAAGUAAUUUGCCGAAACUAUAGGAUAUCAAUUAAAAGUCAUAUAUUAGAACUUUUAGUAGGAAUCGGUAGGGGAGCGUUCCACAUUAGAAAUAGUAAAAGUGGGAGUGAGAAUGUUAGCUUGAGUAGCGAAAACAUUGGUGAGAAUCCAAUGCUCCAGAAACCUAAGGGUUCCUUUGGUAGGUUCGUCCACGAAGGGUGAGUCAGGUCCUAAGAUAAGGCUAUUUGCAUAGUUGAUGGAUAACAGGUCAAUAAUCCUGUACUACUGUAAAAAAUAGUGGCAUGAAAGGGACGAAGUUUGAAAUAAACCUAAAAUUCUUUUUCCAAGAAAAGCUUAAGUGUUGAAAAGAUUAUUUAUCAUUAAAUGGAAUAAAUCUCAUAAUUUUUUAGAGUACCUGUACCAAACCGACACAGGUGGUGGGUAGAACAUACUAAGGAGCGCGAGAGAACUCUCUUUAAGGAACUCGGCAAAAUAGCCUCGUAACUUCGGGAGAAGAGGUGCCAUUAAAGAAUGAUAUUAUAUAGGUUUUAUCUUAAAUGGUUGCAAUAACAAGACGCUGGCGACUGUUUACCAAAAACACAGGUCUCCGCAAAGUUACAAAACGAAGUAUGGGGGCUGACACCUGCCCAGUGCCGGUAGGUUAAGGAAGCUUGUUCACGCUCGCGACGGAAGCCCCGGUAAACGGCGGCCGUAACAAUAACGGUCCUAAGGUAGCGAAAUUCCUUGUCGGGUAAGUUCCGACCCGCACGAAUGGUGUAACGACCGGCGUACUGUCUCAAAGAGAGGCUCGGCGAAAUAGACAUGUCUGUGAAGAUGCGGACUACCUGCACUUGGACAAAAAGACCCUAUGAAGCUUUACUGUAUCCUGAUAUUGAUUUUGGGUUUUGUUUGUAUAGAAUAGGUGGGAGGCAACGAUAAUUUUUUUAUGAAAAGUUUGAGCCAACAGUGAAAUACCACUCUUGCAAAACACAAAGUCUAACUUUAUACUGUGAAUCAGGUUAAAGGACAGUGUUUGGUGGUCAGUUUGACUGGGGCGGUCGCCUCCUAAAG
rnacentral:rRNA from 1 species